UCCCAGCUGCGCCAGAGAGGGCGCGGUCUGGAGCGCCUCGCCAACGUCCCGCAGCCGCCGCCCGCAGCCUGGCCUCGCUCGGGCUCUCGCGAGAGGAAGUAUAAUCUCGGCGGGGUUGGAGAGAGCGGCCUGGCUGGAGCCUGGGGAGAUGUCUCGGAACCCCAAAGGUCUACCGGGCGAGCGCAGCGUGGGGUCUCCUGCCUCAGCUCUGGGCGGUUUCCCGGCGUCAGUUAGACCAUCUGCCUGCCGCGUCGCGGACAGCCCCCUGGAAAAGGCGGAGUGGCCUGGCCGGGGAGGGGCAGGACCCCGUUGCUUCCCCGGAACUGUCAGUACUUCGUAAUGCAUAAUCAGGAAACUGAAGCUGCUAUGGAAAGAAUGGAUUAGAAGAAGAAGCAGGGAGACCAGAAGAGAGACUGCUACAAUGAGCCAGAUGAGAAAUUGUGCUGGCCUGAGCUAAGAGUCAUGGCAGUGGGUAUGCAGAGAUGGCUUUGGACACAAGGUAUAUUUUGGAAGAAGUACCAACAAGACUACUUCACUCAUGUUGAGGUCUUGUGUAAGGUGUUGUGGCUACCAAGGCGGAGGCCCCGCAUCUGGUAGAGAAGGCAGACAUGAACAUGGUGAAGGCCAUGUGCAGUGGGGUCAGUGCUGUGACAGAGCUGAGCCUUCGGAUGAGACCGUGACCCCAGCUACAAGUUGACUGCAACCUUACAGAAGACCUUCAGCCAGAAGCUUCCAGCUAAGCCAUGCCUGGAUUCCUGACCCUCAGAAACUGUGGGCGGCACCUGACUGGAGUGGUGCAGAGGUGUGCAGACUGGUGGGAGGACCGCUGGCUCGGGCUCACACGCUGCCGUGUGCCAAGUCACAGAUUGCACGGCCGCUCUCCGCUUGCUCCAGAGUGGACCGCACGGUUGUGCACACACUGGAUGCUUCAGUCUGUGGUCCUGCUAAAGAUCAAACAGGAACAGCUCUCCAGGUGAUACAAAGAAGGCGCGCCUGGCAGGAGGGUAUCCUGAGAGAUGCGUGGAGGAGGAGGCUCCAUGCUCCAACGUGAUGCUGACAAUUUAGUUCAGUGCAGCUCAGAUACAUCUAGUGUUCUUUGUAUCCAGGGACUUG